rnacentral:lncRNA from 1 species
UCUUAUAGGGCCAUCUUUCUCUUUGUAGAGCUCAAACAGAAGGAGAGAGGAUAUGCUAUGACCUGCCAUUCCCUUCCAGAACACAGAUCGCCAAGGCCCCUGUAGAACUUAAAACAAGGACUGUCCCUGGCCAGCCUCUGCUCCUUGUGACUUGGUGAAGAGAGAUGAGGGCCGGGCAGGGACCGUGAAAGAGAUCCAGGCGAAGACAGCAAACAGACAGACGGAGCCUCUGCGGAAACCCCUGCUUGCAAGACCUGAGCAUCCUGGGACAUCAAGCUGCCUAUUGUUGGAAAACAGAGACAGAACAUGGACUUCUAGUGCUUGAUCUAGGACGCUUGACUGUAAGUAUAUUUCCAUUUUUUAAAACUUCAUGUGGCUUGGAA